rnacentral:lncRNA from 1 species
AAUGCAUUUUAGUUAUUUAUCUUUAAAAUUCGGUUUAGGUUUACUAUUAUCGUCAGUUUGCUACUAUUAUCGUCAGUUUGUUACUACUUAUUUGUAAUAAAUGCCUCAAGAUUAAUAAAGAGUAUUAUUAUUAUUAUGUCUUGUGUGUCUCUACUUUAUUUUUGUGCAAGAAAGCAGAAAACAAGUAUGGGGGAGAUCCCUCGACAUGCCAAACACACUUCGACUACACCACUCCAUGAUUCAGGUACACACUCUACACACUUUACACAUACAUAUAUAUCUUGGAUUAUGCAGAAUACUGUUUCCGACAUGAUAAAUUAAAAAGAUUAAAAUGUUUCUAGUCAUGAUUAAUCUCACUCUCUGAUAUUUCCUGAAACUUGCAAUUAUUGAAAAAAAUCAUUUUAAAACCCUGUGUUACUUAAGUCUUUGUGGAAUGUGAUAUGGUAGGGUAUGAGUUUCUUAUUCUUGAUAUCAUUGUUGCUUGGAGAAUUUAUUCUAGCUACCAUCCUCAGUGUUUUAUAUGCCUGAUAAAACUGAAAAUAUUAAUUAUGAUUAUAAAAGCUAUCUACUCUGUAUUGAGUUUGUUCAAAAUGAGUUAGACCCUUGUUCAGAGAUUUAUCAUGCUCCUAAGAUCAAGACAUUUAUUCAGAAGGAUUCACUCUUCCGAAGUAUUAUUGCAUUAGAGGCAUGGGCUAUGCAAAAAUAUGGAUAUUUCAAGGAAAUAAAAAGGAGCAAGUGCUCGAUAACCUCGUAGAAAAAAAUGGACAAGUGUCCGGCAG